rnacentral:lncRNA from 1 species
UCGCUCUGUAACCUGCGGGUAUUGGAUGAUUCGUAGCUAAGACUUCGCGACACCCUUGAAGCUGAGAAAUGGAACCCUUAACAUUCAGGGAUGUGGCCAUAGAAUUCUCUCCAGAAGAGUGGAAAUGCCUGGACCCUGCCCAGCAGAAUUUGUAUAGAGAUGUGAUGUUGGAGAACUACAGAAACCUGGUCUCCCUAGAGGAAGGAACAGAGCCACAGAGAAAAAUGACUUGCUCACAACAGAAGAGCCAGUAGUAAAACACAGGUGUCUGGAAAUGAAGUAUGGAAAUGAAAUCAUGAAUAAAGACCCAGUUUUCAGAAUCUCUCCACGAAGUAGAGGAACUCAUACCAAUCCAGAAGAGCCUGAAGAAGAUGUUCAAGCUGAAAGAGUCCAAGCAGCAAAUGCACUCACUACUCCAAACUUGGAGGAGGAACCAGUCAUAACUGCAAGCUGUUUACACAAGGAAUAUUAUGAGACAAAGAAAGUUGCUUUUCAACAACAAAGAAGAAAGCAGCCAUCAGAAAUGUUUCGUUUUGUGUUAAAAAGUGAAGUUUUGGGAUUACUAGGACACAAUGGAGCUGGCAAAAGUACUUCCAUUAAAAUGAUAACUGGGUGCACAGUGCCAACUGCAGGAGUGGUGGUGUUACAAGGCAACAGAGCAUCAGUAAGGCAACAGCGUGACAACAGCCUCAAGUUCUUGGGUACUGCCCUCAGGAGAACUCACUGUGUCCCAAACUUACAAUGAAAGAGCAUUUGGAGUUGUAUGCAGCCGUGAAAGGACUGGGCAAAGAUGCUGCUCUUAGUAUUUCAUGAUUGGUGGAAGCUCUCAAGCUCCAGGAGCAACUUAAGGCUCCCGUGAAAACUCUAUCAGAGGGAAUAAAGAGAAAGCUAUGCUUCGUGCUGAGCAUACUGGGGAACCCAUCAGUGGUGCUUCUAGACGAGCUGUUCACCGGGAUGGACCCUGAGGGGCAGCAGCAAAUGUGGCAGAUACUUCAGGCUACCAUUAAAAACCAGGAGAGGGGCGCCCUCUUGACCACCCAUUACAUGUCAGAGGCUAAGUCUCUGUGUGACCGUGUGGCCAUCAUGGUGUCAGGAACGCUAAGGUGUAUUGGUUCCAUUCAACAGCUGAAAAGUUUGGUAAAGAUUAUUUACUAGAAAUAAAAAUGAAAGAACCUACUCAGGUGGAAGCUCUCCACACAGAGAUUUUGAAGCUUUUCCCACAGGCUGCUUGGCAGGAAAGAUAUUCCUCUUUAAUGGCAUGUAAGUUACCUGUGGAGGAUGUCCACCCUCUGUCUCAGGCCUUUUUCAAAUUAAAGGCAGUGAAACAGACCUUCAACCUGGAGGAAUACAGCCUCUCUCAGGCUACCUUGGAGCAGGUGUUCUUAGAACUCUGUAAAGAGCAGGCGCUGGGAAAUGUUGAUGA